UAGGUUCCAAAGUUGCCAGGCCUACAGCAGAAUGCACCUCAAAAGACAAAGUUACUCCAUUCCACUUUGCUACAAAAGACAAUUUGGAAGCCUUGGUGGAACACCUCUCUAAGAAUUCCAGCCUGACAGAAUACAUGGAUAUGAAUGCCCUGAAAACCAUCCAGGAACUGAAACUCAGCAACCAAAAAAACUUUUCUGUCAGAGCUUCUGAUCAAGAGUUGGGAAAAUUUGAAAUUUCCAGGCUCAACAGUUAUUCCAGAAGGAACUAUAUAUGUGAACAAUGUUGUUUUACUUUAUUGCCAUGAUGAAAUGAUUAAA